rnacentral:rRNA from 1 species
UACAGAGGUCUCAAGCGUUGUUCGGAUUCAUUGGGCGUAAAGGGUGCGUAGGCGGCGCGGUAAGUCGGAUGUGAAAUCUCGGAGCUUAACUUCGAAACUGCAUUCGAUACUGCCGUGCUUGAGGACUGGAGAGGAGACUGGAAUUUACGGUGUAGCGGUGAAAUGCGUAGAUAUCGUAAGGAAGACCAGUGGCGAAGGCG